GACGAACGCUGGCGGCGUGCUUAACACAUGCAAGUCGAGCGGAAAGGCCCUUCGGGGUACUCGAGCGGCGAACGGGUGAGUAACACGUGAGUAACCUGCCCUUCACUCUGGGAUAAGCCCGGGAAACUGGGUCUAAUACCGGAUAUGACUUCCUGUCUCAUGGCGGGGGGUGGAAAGUUUUUCGGUGGGGGAUGGACUCGCGGCCUAUCAGCUUGUUGGUGAGGUAGUGGCUUACCAAGGCGACGACGGGUAGCCGGCCUGAGAGGGCGACCGGCCACACUGGGACUGAGACACGGCCCAGACUCCUACGGGAGGCAG
rnacentral:rRNA from 1 species